rnacentral:rRNA from 1 species
GGGCCCGCACAAGCGGUGGAGCAUGUGGUUCAAUUCGACGCAACGCGAAGAACCUUACCUGGGCUAGACAACGGCGGACCGUCCUAGAAAUAGGAUCUUCCCUUCGGGGACCGCCGGUUCAGGUGCUGCAUGGCUGUCGUCAGCUCGUGCCGUGAGGUGUUGGGUUAAGUCCCGCAACGAGCGCAACCCUCGUCCUUAGUUGCCACCAUUCAGUUGGGCACUCUAGGGAGACUGCCGGCGUUAAGCCGGAGGAAGGUGGGGACGACGUCAAGUCAUCAUGGCCCUUAUGUCCAGGGCCACACACGUGCUACAAUGGGCGGUACAAAGGGUCGCUAACCCGCGAGGGGGAGCCAAUCCCAAAAAGCCGCUCUCAGUUCGGAUUGGAGUCUGCAACUCGACUCCAUGAAGUUGGAAUCGCUAGUAAUCGCGGAUCAGCACGCCGCGGUGAAUACGUUCCCGGGCCUU